rnacentral:rRNA from 1 species
GUUGUAUGGUUAAGUGACUAAGCGUACACGGUGGAUGCCUUGGCAGUCAGAGGCGAUGAAGGACGUAUUAACUUGCGAUAAGCCCAGAUUAGGCAGUAAAAGCCACUUGAGUCUGGGAUUUCCGAAUGGGGAAACCCAACUGCAUAAGCAGUUACUGUUAACUGAAUACAUAGGUUAACAGGGCGAACCGGGGGAACUGAAACAUCUAAGUACCCCGAGGAAAAGA